rnacentral:lncRNA from 1 species
CAUCUUUCCAAUUUAAAUAUAAACAUUGGGAAAUAGAGUUUACGAGAUUGAAAUAAAAAAAAAAUCAUUUGAUACACAAAAAAGAAAUAUAAAGACCACUAUUUUAUUAUAUUCUCAUAUAACCUCCGCCUUGUUUUGCUGGACGUCCAAUAAAACAUCCACCUAUCCAGAUUGUCACGGAACCAGUCACAACAAGUCCAAUCAAUACUCCUUCCAUGUCUUUGCAAUGCAUAGAGAUAAAAUAACAUGACAAAAUCGUACAUACUAUUCCAAUUAUUGUCCAAAUUACGGAACAAAGCACUUUUAAACAAACUCCCAUUCCUGAACAUACACUUAUUCCUGAAAACAGCAUUGUAAAUGCAGACACUAUAGUAAGAGCAAUUAUUAUCCUUUGUUCGCUAUCGUACUUGCAAUGACUCCCUUGUGUAAGCUCUGCAGCAAGAACGAACAUUAUUCCAGUGAGUGUCCAGAAUAUGGAGCAUGACCACUUGAAACAGUCUGUCGCACACAUAAUCACAUUAAACUUAGCCAUUUUUGU